UAGGGACCAUAAUAAUUAAAUUGUCCCCAAAAGUUAAUGUUUGAUAAAAAUAGGGACUAUCAAAAAACUUGUCCCCAAUUCUUGUUUUUUAAAACUAUUGGGGACGAUUUUUCUUAUUUAGUAUAGUGAAUCCGAUCCAAAUUACUAGGGACCAAAAAUUUAGCUAAUAAAAAGAGAACUUAAAAAAAAUAGGGUAGUUAAUUUGUAUGAGUUGGAAAGGGAAGAAAAGUAGCGGCAAUUAGGUUUUUUAUUAGUAAAGCAUAGUAAAUUUCACAAUCUUCUCCAUCAAAUUCACCUGAUACGUAUGUUUAUAUUGCUUUGUUAAACAUUGUAAUACGUUUAAACACAAGAUCUAUUUUCAAUUUAGUGAAAACUUAUAAUUAUUAAAAAAACCCUAAUGUUGUUUUGAUUUGGGGAAUAAUUUUACUGUGAGAACAUCGUUGUUAAGUUUUUUCCCAUUUGGAUUAUUUUUUGAUUUGAGUUUUUUUUUGAAGUAGAUUUGAGUACAUAUGAAUUAAAUUAAUGGGAUAAAUGUGGAAAAUACAUAGUUGCCUUCUAGAUUAAAAAACCAUAUGGACAAUUAUGGUUUUCUACUACCAUAGUACCAUGACUCGUUUGUGUAAGUUCUGGAAACACAAAGAAAAAGAAAAAGGAAACUUGCUGCUUUUCAGAGGAGUUGGAAUUUCUCAUUUCUGUAGCUCUUUAAAGUGAGAGCCUCUUGAAUUUAAAUUGUGCCUUGUGUUCUUUUUUGUAAUUGAAAUGCUUUGGAAAAAAAAUCGUUAAGUAUUAAUUGUCUACUUAUUUUAUACUUUGGAAAAAAUCAAUUUGAUUUUUACUCUAUUGUAUAUGUAAAUUGUAAUAAGUUGUUUGCCUCGAGUUGAGAUUCAGUUAAAGGAUUUGUUCACCUUAUGAUUUUGUGAAAUUUUAAGCACAUAUUGUGUAGAUAAUUGAUUGAAGGACUAGAUUGUUACAAAACCAAUUUUUAUAUCAUGUUGAGAUUGUUUUGGCUUCCCAGAGGCCAUAACUCAUAAUCAUCUUGCCUUGAAUGUGCAGCAUCAAAUGCAUUUAUACAUUGGUAUAUGAAAGAGGCAUAACACACAAUAGAAAAAGUUGCACAAACUUUUCUGCUCUCUAUAGACAAUGAUGUAGGUAUGGACUUUUGAUGAGAUGCACAGUGUCUCUGUUCAUCAAGCAUCAAGAAAUAAAACUUCCUUUAUCCUUUGGUCUGUAUACUCGUGCAUUCUUGUGAUACAAAUGAGCAACCUCCAGCAUGUGUGCCAGAGAUACGAAAGAGUUGCUUGAUUUUCAAGAUGACAUGCAAUUUAGCAAAAGAGCAUCGUUCAUUUUUAUGAAGACGACUAAUCAAAUUAAUGUUACUUUUUUGUUUUUUAAAUAUUAUUUUUGUUUAGGGAAUAACUAUUAGAAGAUUAAUUUUUAGUAUGUAAUUUUUGAUGCUAGUUAUAACUUUAAAUAUCAAUGAAUUGUUGGUUUUUCAAUUA